rnacentral:rRNA from 1 species
UACGUAGGCAGCAAGCGUUGUUCGGAGUUACUGGGCGUAAAGAGUGCGUAGGUGGUGCCCUAAGUCUGUUGUGAAAUCUCCCGGCUUAACCGUGGAAGUGCAUGGGAUACUGUUGAGCUUGAGUACUUAAGAGGAUCGCGGAAUUCCCGGUGUAGAGGUGAAAUUCGUAGAUAUCGGGAGGAACACCAGUGGCGAAGGCGGCGAUCUGGGAAGAUACUGACGCUGAGGUGCGAAAGCGUGGGGAGCAAACAGG